rnacentral:rRNA from 1 species
UACAGAGGGUGCAAGCGUUAAUCGGAAUUACUGGGCGUAAAGCGUGCGUAGACGGUUGCGUAAGUCAGAUGUGAAAGCCCCGGGCUCAACCUGGGAAUUGCAUUUGAGACUGCGUAGCUAGGGUGCGGAAGAGGGAAGCGGAAUUUCCGGUGUAGCGGUGAAAUGCGUAGAUAUCGGAAGGAACACCAGUGGCGAAGGCGGCCAUCUGGGACAACACUGACGCUGAAGCACGAAAGCGUGGGGAGCAAACAGG